rnacentral:rRNA from 1 species
GCCAAAAAUUUAGCCCGUCCAACCCAACUACACCCAACAAUCAACUAAAAUAUUCUAUCACCUAGUAGAGAUGAUCGAAACCCUAACAAGAGCUAUAUUAAAGUACCGCAAGGGAAAAAUGAAAGACAAUGAAAACUAUAAAGCACAAAAAAGUAAAGCCUACAUCUUGUACCUUUUGCAUCAUGAUUUAACUAGUCCAACCAAGCAAAAAGACUUUUAGUUUGAAUCCCCGAAACCGGGUGAGCUACUUAGGGGCAGCUUACCGAGCAAACCCGUCCCUGUUGCAAAAGGGUGGGAAGACCCCCUAGUAGAGGUGACAAACCUAUCGAACCCUGUGAUAGCUGGUUACUCGAAAAAAGAAUUUUAGUCCAACCUAAAGUAACUCAUAAAUAAAAUUAUCGCUUUAGAGUAAUUCAAAUAAGGUACAGCCUAUUUGAAACAGGAUACAACCUCUGACAAUGGCUAAUAAUAAAAUACCUAACUAAGUGGG